rnacentral:rRNA from 1 species
CUCAGGCCCACAUGCAAGUCGAGCGGAAACGAUGGAAGCUUGCUUCCAGGCGUCGAGGGCGGACGGGUGAGUAAUGCAUAGGAAUCUGCCCGGUAGUGGGGGAUAACCUGGGGAAACUCAGGCUAAUACCGCAUACGUCCUACGGGAGAAAGCAGGGGCUCUUCGGACCUUGCGCUAUCGGAUGAGCCUAUGUCGGAUUAGCUAGUUGGUGAGGUAAUGGCUCACCAAGGCCGCGAUCCGUAGCUGGUCUGAGAGGAUGAUCAGCCACAUCGGGACUGAGACACGGCCCGAACUCCUACGGGAGGCAGCAGUGGGGAAUAUUGGACAAUGGGCGCAAGCCUGAUCCAGCCAUGCCGCGUGUGUGAAGAAGGCCCUCGGGUUGUAAAGCACUUUCAGUGAGGAAGAACGCCUGGCGGUUAAUACCCGCCAGGGAAGACACACNGNANAA